AUAUAAAAACUGGCAAUUCAUAUUAUAAAAUGGAACAAAAAUGGGUGUCGCGUUUAUUCUUUAGAGAGUGUGUUUUCCUUUCAAGAAUGUAAUAUGAGAAAUCAUCUGCUUAGUUGGUGGUUGUAUUGAUGAUUCGGCCCUUAAUGGUUCAGACUUCCCGAAGGAGAAGAAGGAGGUGCGGAAAGAGGAUGGGAGCAACAAAUCUGAAUCAAAGAGUAUGCUUUGUUGUGGAUCUUCUAUGGAAUGUUGUUGCUAGUAACCAAGCAUGCUUUCUCUUUAGUUCCUCUAUGAAAGUAGCAUCAAAUUGGGAUUUUGUUGAUGAUUUGCAAAGCUUAAUUGAGACAUAAUUCUCUCAGUUCCCACUUUUGCAAAUCGUGAUUGUUAGUUGAAGUUAGUUGGUUCUCCCGAUCCCAGUUGCUUCUAAUGCAGGUCUGUAGUCCUGAGUUUAGUGGGUGAUUCUGUACGAUCUUGCGAUGAUUAUAACUGCAACACUUGAGGGUUGGUAGUAGCACAUGCCGAAGGCUUGAUGAACUCGUAUGGCUUUUGUUCUCCUUCUUUUGGAGGGGAGAACUCUUCCACUUGCUUCUGCCUUUUCAUCAGCUUCCAUGCUGCAGUUUGACAAUUUUUAUUUCGGUGAUAUUUUUUGGGUUCCCCUUUUCCAUCUUUUAUGUUUGUCGAUGGGUCAUUAAAACAGAAAACGGUGAUGUAUGAACCAUUUUCACCAAUGAUUUAUUCAUUGUGUCCACCAGUGAUCUUUUGAGAUACUGACGCUUUUUUUUGGAAUUAGGGGUGAGAAUUACUUAUCGAUGACUCGGGCAUCAACUCUUGAUUUUCGGCGGAAGACACAAGGUCAGAACAACUGGUCUGGGCCGUUGCGCCUAGUAAAUGUCAUCAGAAAUAAAUUCCCUACCUACAAGAAUGGUACGAAUGGGAUAGUCAUCAAAUUUGCUGAUGAGCCAGAAACGCCAUGACUUAAGGAGUCUGUUGCCAAAGAGACAGCAGAUCUGCUUGAUCGGCGUCAGCGUCUUUCAGUCCGCGAGCUCGCAAUGAAAUUUGAGAAGGGCCUCAGUACUGCCACAUUAUUAUCUAAUGAGGUUAAAUGUAAACAAGUGGCUUUAUUGGAGCGAGACAUCCUUCUGAAGAUCUAAAGAGUGUAUUGGAGUCACUGAGAGGACAAGUAGCUGGCAAAUAUAAGGAUGAAUUUGAGGAAUCAGUAUCUAUGGUGGAUAUUUUAGCAGUUCAGCUGUCCAAAAGAGAAAA